rnacentral:rRNA from 1 species
UACGAAGGGGGCUAGCGUUGCUCGGAAUUACUGGGCGUAAAGCGCACGUAGGCGGGUCGUUUAAGUCGGGGGUGAAAUCCUGGAGCUCAACUCCAGAACUGCCCUCGAAACUGGCGAUCUUGAGUUCGGGAGAGGUGAGUGGAGCUGCGAGUGUAGAGGUGAAAUUCGUAGAUAUUCGCAAGAACACCAGUGGCGAAGGCGGCUCACUGGCCCGAUACUGACGCUGAGGUGCGAAAGCGUGGGGAGCAAACAGGG